rnacentral:ncRNA from 1 species
AGCCGCUAGGGGUGCUGAAAAGCUGAGAUAUAUACCCUUUGAACCUGAUAUGGUUAAUACUAUCGUAGGGAAGCGGAGAUACUUU